ACGAACGCUGGCGGCAGGCCUAACACAUGCAAGUCGAGCGGACCCUUCGGGGUUAGCGGCGGACGGGUGAGUAACGCGUGGGAACGUGCCCUUUGCUUCGGAAUAGCCCUGGGAAACUGGGAGUAAUACCGGAUACGCCCUUUUGGGGAAAGAUUUAUCGGCGAAGGAUCGGCCCGCGUUGGAUUAGGUAGUUGGUGGGGUAAUGGCCUACCAAGCCGACGAUCCAUAGCUGGUUUGAGAGGAUGAUCAGCCACACUGGGACUGAGACACGGCCCAGACUCCUACGGGAGGCAGCAGUGGGGAAUCUUAGACAAUGGGGGAAACCCUGAUCUAGCCAUGCCGCGUGAGCGAUGAAGGCCUUAGGGUUGUAAAGCUCUUUCACCGGGGAAGAUAAUGACGGUACCCGGAGAAGAAGCCCCGGCUAACUCCGUG
rnacentral:rRNA from 1 species